rnacentral:rRNA from 1 species
GAUGAACGCUGACAGAAUGCUUAACACAUGCAAGUCAACUGUGGCGGACGGGUGAGUAACGCGUAAAGAACUUGCCUCACAGUUAGGGACAACAUUUGGAAACGAAUGCUAAUACCUUAUACUGUGAGAGAGCUUUGCGUCCCAUUAGCUAGUUGGAGAGGUAAAGGCUCACCAAGGCGAGGAGGGGUAGCCGGCCUGAGAGGGUGAUCGGCCACAAGGGGACUGGGGCGCGGGCCUUAGGCCAACUGGCGUCAGUAGGGGGGGAUAUUGGACGAUAGACCAAAGUCUGAUCAAGCAAUUCUGUUUGCAAGAUGAAGUUUUCGGAAUGUAAAGUGCUUUCAGUUUGAAAGCGGUACCAACAGAAGAAGUGACGGCUAAAUACGUGCCAGCAGCCGCGGUAAUAC